CCUACGGGAGGCAGCAGUGGGGAAUAUUGGACAAUGGGGGUAACCCUGAUCCAGCCAUGCCGCGUGUGUGAAGAAGGCCCUCGGGUUGUAAAGCACUUUCAGUGAGGAAGAACGCCUGGUGGUUAAUACCCAUCAGGAAAGACAUCACUCACAGAAGAAGCACCGGCUAACUCCGUGCCAGCAGCCGCGGUAAUACGGAGGGUGCGAGCGUUAAUCGGAAUUACUGGGCGUAAAGCGCGCGUAGGUGGCUUGAUAAGCCGGUUGUGAAAGCCCCGGGCUCAACCUGGGAACGGCAUCCGGAACUGUCAAGCUAGAGUGCAGGAGAGGAAGGUAGAAUUCCCGGUGUAGCGGUGAAAUGCGUAGAGAUCGGGAGGAAUACCAGUGGCGAAGGCGGCCUUCUGGACUGACACUGACACUGAGGUGCGAAAGCGUGGGUAGCAAACAGGAUUAGAUACCCGAGUAGUC
rnacentral:rRNA from 1 species